GGGCGUAUAGUCUAGUGGUAUGAUUUCCGCUUUGCAUUAGUUGGCACACCUGCGGAAGGUCCUGGGUUCAAUCCCCAGUGCGUCCA
rnacentral:tRNA from 1 species